rnacentral:rRNA from 1 species
GAUGAACGCUGGCGGCGUGCUUAACACAUGCAAGUCGAACGGAAAGGCCCAAGCUUGCUUGGGUACUCGAGUGGCGAACGGGUGAGUAACACGUGGGUGAUCUGCCCUGCACUUCGGGAUAAGCCUGGGAAACUGGGUCUAAUACCGGAUAGGACCACAUUUUGGAUGGUGUGGUGGAAAGUUUUUCGGUGUGGGAUGAGCUCGCGGCCUAUCAGCUUGUUGGUGGGGUAAUGGCCUACCAAGGCGUCGACGGGUAGCCGGCCUGAGAGGGUGUACGGCCACAUUGGGACUGAGAUACGGCCCAGACUCCUAUGGGAGGCAGCAGUGGGGAAUAUUGCACAAUGGGCGCAAGCCUGAUGCAGCGACGCCGCGUGGGGGAUGACGGCCUUCGGGUUGUAAACUCCUUUCGCUAGGGACGAAGCGUUAUGUGACGGUACCUGGAGAAGAAGCACCGGCUAACUACGUG